rnacentral:rRNA from 1 species
AGUGAACGCUGGCGGUAGGCCUAACACAUGCAAGUCGAACGGCAGCACAGUAAGAGCUUGCUCUUACGGGUGGCGAGUGGCGGACGGGUGAGGGAUACAUCGGAAUCUACUUUUUCGUGGGGGAUAACGUAGGGAAACUUACGCUAAUACCGCAUACGACCUACGGGUGAAAGCAGAGGAUCUUCGGACCUUGCGCGAUUGAAUGAGCCGAUGUCGGAUUAGCUAGUUGGCGGGGUAAAGGCCCACCAAGGCGACGAUCCGUAGCUGGUCUGAGAGGAUGAUCAGCCACACUGGAACUGAGACACGGUCCAGACUCCUACGGGAGGCAGCAGUGGGGAAUAUUGGACAAUGGGCGCAAGCCUGAUCCAGCCAUACCGCGUGGGUGAAGAAGGCCUUCGGGUUGUAAAGCCCUUUUGUUGGGAAAGAAAAGCAGCAGGUUAAUACCCCGCUGUUCUGACGGUACCCAAAGAAUAAGCACCGGCUAACUUCGUG